GAUGGUAGUAUCAGUUAUUCUAACAGUUCCUUUGGUCGAAGCCUUGUGUGCCACUUCCUGCAUCUCCGCCAGUGCCGCCCUGGGUUAUCCCGGCGUUCAACCAAAGGGAGUACAGCUGUGAUAAAAAAAACCUGAUACUAAAUUGGAUUGGAUGUAUAGGAGCACAUCAUUUUGGUAGAUGUACUCAUAAACAAGAGAAAGAUUACUUCCUUCAUAUUUGUGCGUGGCUCAAUUGCUAUGCUGAUACAAAAUUAUCUUCCUAGUUGCAUAGAAGCUUCUUGUGCGACCUCUUUCUCAUCUGAGAUCACAAAGCAAGACUCAUGUAACUGGGUAUCUGGCGCCGAAUCGUUGAAAAUGAGUCCUGAAAUUGAUGAACGCCCUCUUGAUGGCUGUAGAAAAAUUAAUUCAAAGGAUGGUGAUCCUUGUUCCUUAAACAGUGUAGAUGGUUUACGACCUUCAACUUUCAGUGCAAUGUCUGGAAGUUCUAAGCCCAUUGUAUAUCGUAGGAAAAAGUUCCGAAGAAACCCUCUCACUACUUUCUCCAUUGAAACAUCAGCUGAAGUUAGGCCUAGCAAUGGAUGUCCUUCUGAGCUUUGUUCUGAGGUCCAUCUAGGAACUUUUAAGGAAGACUUAGUUGCUGGAGUUGCAGUUGAAAAGGUAGCUACUGCAGCUCCUUUUCUGAUUCCUGCUGAGUGUAAUAGAGGGAACCUUCUUUCUAAAUCAAAUUCUUGUGAUGGUAGACCUGAAGUAGAAGAGCAGUGCUCUGAAGCAGCGUCAAGAAGUGACAUACAAAGGACUUCAGAUUUUUGCGUAAAUGAUAGCCAUUCGUCGUUGGACUUUGAUUCUUCUUCAUUGAAGACUGAUGUGGGUGAUGCCAGUGAAUGCUCCUCAUCUGGUGCUUUAGUUCCUGAAGGAUUGGAUGAUAAUAUGCCAGAAAAGGAUAUAUGCAUAACAAUUCUUAGAGGUUAUGGGUUGCUUGAGAAAGUUCCGUUUACUGAGCUCCGCAUGUCCGCUAAAGCCUCUGGUACCAGUACUAACAACUGCUCUUUAAUCUCAUGCAAAGCCUGUGAUUGUUCAGAUACUACAUUGAAGAUGCUAAUCUGUGAUAAUUGUGCUGAUGCAUAUCAUUUAUCUUGCUGCAAUCCCCGUAUACGGAAAAUACCUCGGGAUGAGUGGUUUUGCAAAUAUUGUUUGAUUAAGAAGCGAAAAUUACUGGAGAAAUCAACUUGUAAAUCCCUAAGUGGGCCCGUCGAAACUGAAAGUUCUAGCAACUUAUUGUCUGAAGGUGAAUCAGGACCUAUAUCUCUCAUGUUGAAGGACACCAGCAUAUAUAGAACCUGCGUCCGUAUUGGCAAUAAUUUUCAAGCUGAGGUUCCUGACUGGACAGGCCCAGUGAUAGAUGAGGUUGAUCGGUUUGAACCAUUAGAAAUCAGGCCUUCCAAGUAUCUCAGCUUCGAUGAAUACUCUUCUAACAAGCCGUCGAGGUUUAGUUCUAUUGGCAAUUGGCUUCAGUGCCGGCAGGUCAUUGAAGGUAUUGGUGAAUAUGCGGAUGGAAGUAUCUGUGGGAAGUGGCGUAGGGCCCCACUAUUUGAAGUUCAAACAGAUGACUGGGAGUGCUUCCGUACUGUCCUUUGGGAUCCACCUCAUGCAGAUUGUGCUGUACCUCAAGAACUCGAAACGGAGGAAGUUCUAAAGCAAUUGAAGUAUAUAGAGACGUUGAAACCCCGGCUGGCGAUUAAGAGGCGCAAAUUGGUUCAAACCUCGGGUGCUAGCUCACGGUGCUUCACAGAGAAUUGAGAAGAGAUAGGCUUCAUGUACGGAAAUGUUCAUCUUGUACAUUUAAGUAUACAAAUUUGGGACAUUUGAAUUUGUACUACAUGAGAUUCUCAUCACAGCACACUGAUGUAAUUGCUUCAGAAACAUUUGUGCAAUUUAGAAGGUGCAUUGAAUCAAUCAGCUGCAACUCUAUUUGAGUUUUCCUGGCCACACUUCGUCUCUUAGUACAUUUAUAUGUUGUCUUUAUGGGGCAUUUACUUUUUGCAUUGUGAGGGCUGACAUAUUAACAUUUCAGGGUAGAGAGCAGGUGCGGGGAAGGCAAAGUGAGAGCAAGAUAAAGGGGAAGGGGAAUUUUUACUUGUGAUGACUCUGUGUUGGUGCUAUUUAGUUUCUAUUUUUUCGUCUGGUAUAGGCAGUUUUAUGAACAGGAACCUACUCUAGGUUUUUUUGUUGAAUAGCAGAAUUUAUUUGCAGCUUCCAGCGGAGCAACCUUCUUCUCUCUCGAGUUUGUGGCAGCUAUCCCCUGAACAUUGGUAUCUUGAGUCACUCUUCCAGGUUAGGAACUUAUGGUUGUGCACUGCAGUGCGGAAAAAACAUCGAGGGGCUUCUUUCAGAAUUCAUGAAUCUGUCUUGUGGUUCAUUACUAUUUGGUACAGUAUAAUUUGAAGGCCAAUUAUAACCCGCGGAACAAAUUAUUUGUGUAUCAUUAGAGCCAGCAAAACACAAAGGCAAGAAAGAGGGAUGAAUAUAGAUGCAUUCACAUCCGGUAUUUCAUUUGUAAUUUGUAAUGAUUAGUAGUAAAUAUAUACAAAGGUCAGCACCUGUAUCAUCGUUACUCGUUAGUGAGUAGCUGUGUUGUUUCCCUUCAUAUGAAAUAUUUGAUUUGAGAUUUGAUUAAGCUAGCGUUUGGCCAUA